rnacentral:rRNA from 1 species
ACGGGUGAGUAACACGUGGGCAACCUGCCUUGUAGAGGGGAAUAGCCUUCCGAAAGGAAGAUUAAUACCGCAUAACAUUACAUUUUCGCAUGAAGAAGUAAUUAAAGGAGCAAUCCGCUACAAGAUGGGCCCGCGGCGCAUUAGCUAGUUGGUGAGGUAACGGCUCACCAAGGCGACGAUGCGUAGCCGACCUGAGAGGGUGAUCGGCCACAUUGGGACUGAGACACGGCCCAGACUCCUACGGGAGGCAGCAUG